GGAAUUUUGUUCUGGUUUGAGUUAAGGUUAUUUAUUUAUGUAUGCAUAUAAGUUAGAUGAUGGAUGGUGGUAUGUUGAAUUAAAAAUAAUGGGAGAUUGAUUUAGGUAGUGUAAAGAAUUAAUUAAGGAUGUGCCAGCGAUUGCGGUUAGACAUGGGAUUCGAAUUUUAAGUAAGAGUGGUUGGUUAUGAAAUUUUAGGUGAAAUUUUAGGUUUAGGGGUUAUUAAAAGUGUAGAUUAAAAAUAGGAUUAGAUACCCUAGUAUUUGCAUUGGUAGAGGAAGAAUGGGAUUUAAAGGAUAUGGCGGUGUAGAGUAAUUUCAGGGGAAUCUGUUUGAUAAAUGAUAGUCCGCGAGGAACUUGCCUUGUUUUGGGCUUGUAUAUCGUUGUUUAGAUGAUUUAGGGAUGAGUAAUUUUCUUGAUUAUGGUUGAUAAAUAUUUCUAAUCAAGGUGCGGUUUGAUGAGGUGUUAUAAUGGGUUACAAUGAAUUUAUUUAUAUGAAUGGGAUGAUGUAAUUUGUUCUUGAAGGUGGAUUUGAAAGUAAUGAUUUAUUAGAAUGGGGUUGUGAAUUUUUGCGAUAUAAGUACAUAUUGCCCGUCGCUCUGGUGUAGUUAUCAGAUAAGUCGUAACAUAGUAGAUGUAUUGGAAGAUGUAUCUAGG
rnacentral:rRNA from 1 species